CAGAGGGAAGAGCAUUUGGGGACACAAAGAGAAGACGGCCACCUACAAGCAAGGAGAGAGGCCUUAAGAGAAACCAACCCUGUCAACACCUGGAUC